UACGAGGGGUGCAAGCGUUGCUCGGAAUUAUUGGGCGUAAAGGGUGCGUAGGCGGGUCUUUAAGUCAGGGGUGAAAUCCUGGAGCUCAACUCCAGAACUGCCUUUGAUACUGAGGAUCUUGAGUUCGGGAGAGGUGAGUGGAACUGCGAGUGUAGAGGUGAAAUUCGUAGAUAUUCGCAAGAACACCAGUGGCGAAGGCGGCUUGCCAGAACGCGCUCGACGGUGAGGGAUGAAAGCUGGGGGAGCAAACCGG
rnacentral:rRNA from 1 species